rnacentral:misc_RNA from 1 species
CGCCAUCAGCGUGAAGAUCGAGACCCCCGAGGCGACGCGCUGGAUGACGACGAGCGGCGGCAGGCCGAGGUAGAGGACGGUCGCGAAGCUCGAGAUGCCGAGGCAGAACGCGAUCGGCGUGCCGAUCAGCAUCAGCGCGACGAAGACGCCGAAGAGGACGAGGAGUUCCAUAGGGGUCAGGCCUCGCUGAGGGCGACUUCUUCGGCGUUCGGGUCGUGGUCGACCUUGA